rnacentral:misc_RNA from 1 species
GAAUUGCGAUAUGUAAUGUGAAUUGCAGAAUUCAGUGAAUCAUCGAAUCUUUGAACGCACAUUGCACUCUCUGGUAUUCCGGAGAGUAUGCCUGUUUGAGUGUCAUUUAUCUCUCAUCAUUGACAGGGUUAUACUUUGUCAAUGCUUGGAUUAUGAAGGUUUGCUGGUGGUAACACAUCAUCUCCUUUUAAAUUUAUUAGCGGAACUAUGUUGAAUCAGCUUCGGUUUGGUAAAUGAUUAUCUGUGCUGUUGCUGAGAAGACGAUUGUUUGGCUUCAAACUGUCCUCGGACUUGUCCCUUGCUGGACGAUAAAUUUGACACUUGACCUCAAAUCAGGUAGGACUACCCGCUGAACUUAA